rnacentral:rRNA from 1 species
GAUGAACGCUGGCGGCGUGCUUAACACAUGCAAGUCGAACGGAAAGGCUCCUGCUUGCAGGGGUACUCGAGUGGCGAACGGGUGAGUAACACGUGGGUGAUCUGCCCUGCACUUCGGGAUAAGCCUGGGAAACUGGGUCUAAUACCGGAUAGGACGAUGGUUUGGAUGCCAUUGUGGAAAGUUUUUCGGUGUGGGAUGAGCUCGCGGCCUAUCAGCUUGUUGGUGAGGUAAUGGCCUACCAAGGCGUCGACGGGUAGCCGGCCUGGGAGGGUGUACGGCCACAUUGGGACUGAGAGACGGCCCAGACUCCUACGGGAGGCAGCAGUGGGGAAUAUUGCACAAUGGGAGCAAGCCUGAUGCAGCGACGCCGCGUGGGGGAUGACGGCCUUCGGGUUGUAAACUGCUUUCGCUAGGGACGAAGCGCAAGUGACGGUACCUGGAGAAGAAGCACCGGCUAACUACGUG